UACGGAGGGUGCAAGCGUUAUCCGGAUUCACUGCGUUUAAAGGGAGCGUAGGUGGGUCUGUAAGUCCGUGGUGAAAUCUCCGAGCUUAACUUGGAAACUGCCAUGGAUACUAUAGGUCUUGAAUAUUGUGGAGGUCAGCGGAAUAUGUCAUGUAGCGGUGAAAUGCUUAGAGAUGACAUAGAACACCAAUUGCGAAGGCAGCUGGCUACGCAUAUAUUGACACUGAGGCUCGAAAGCGUGGGGAUCAAACAGG
rnacentral:rRNA from 1 species